rnacentral:rRNA from 1 species
GACGAACGCUGGCGGCGUGCCUAAUACAUGCAAGUAGAACGCUGAAGAGAGGAGCUUGCUCUUCUUGGAUGAGUUGCGAACGGGUGAGUAACGCGUAGGUAACCUGCCUUGUAGCGGGGGAUAACUAUUGGAAACGAUAGCUAAUACCGCAUAACAAUGGAUGACACAUGUCAUUUAUUUGAAAGGGGCAAUUGCUCCACUACAAGAUGGACCUGCGUUGUAUUAGCUAGUAGGUGAGGUAACGGCUCACCUAGGCGACGAUACAUAGCCGACCUGAGAGGGUGAUCGGCCACACUGGGACUGAGACACGGCCCAGACUCCUACGGGAGGCAGCAGUAGGGGAUCUUCGGCAAUGGGGGCAACCCUGACCGAGCAACGCCGCGUGAGUGAAGAAGGUUUUCGGAUCGUAAAGCUCUGUUGUAAGUCAAGAACGAGUGUGAGAGUGGAAAGUUCACACUGUGACGGUAGCUUACCAGAAAGGGACGGCUAACUACGUGCCAGCAGCCGCGGUAAUACGUAGGUCCCGAGCGUUGUCCGGAUUUAUUGGGCGUAAAGCGAGCGCAGGCGGUUUGAUAAGUCUGAAGUUAAAGGCUGUGGCUCAACCAUAGUUCGCUUUGGAAACUGUCAAACUUGAGUGCAGAAGGGGAGAGUGGAAUUCCAUGUGUAGCGGUGAAAUGCGUAGAUAUAUGGAGGAACACCGGUGGCGAAAGCGGCUCUCUGGUCUGUAACUGACGCUGAGGCUCGAAAGCGUGGGGAGCGAACAGGAUUAGAUACCCUGGUAGUCCACGCCGUAAACGAUGAGUGCUAGGUGUUGGAUCCUUUCCGGGAUUCAGUGCCGCAGCUAACGCAUUAAGCACUCCGCCUGGGGAGUACGACCGCAAGGUUGAAACUCAAAGGAAUUGACGGGGGCCCGCACAAGCGGUGGAGCAUGUGGUUUAAUUCGAAGCAACGCGAAGAACCUUACCAGGUCUUGACAUCCCGAUGCUAUUUCUAGAGAUAGAAAGUUACUUCGGUACAUCGGUGACAGGUGGUGCAUGGUUGUCGUCAGCUCGUGUCGUGAGAUGUUGGGUUAAGUCCCGCAACGAGCGCAACCCCUAUUGUUAGUUGCCAUCAUUCAGUUGGGCACUCUAGCGAGACUGCCGGUAAUAAACCGGAGGAAGGUGGGGAUGACGUCAAAUCAUCAUGCCCCUUAUGACCUGGGCUACACACGUGCUACAAUGGUUGGUACAACGAGUUGCAAGUCGGUGACGGCAAGCUAAUCUCUUAAAGCCAAUCUCAGUUCGGAUUGUAGGCUGCAACUCGCCUACAUGAAGUCGGAAUCGCUAGUAAUCGCGGAUCAGCACGCCGCGAUGAAUACGUUCCCGGGCCU